GCCUGUGCUGAGCAUAUACUGGGCUGAAGAGCAGUGGGACAUUGGUGACAUUGGGGAGCUCCCACUGUCUAUCAGACACUCCUACUUGAGUGCAUUGUCCCAUUCAGUCACCCCACAGCCCUAUGGAAGAGUGUAACCGGUGCUGUUAUUGGGGUGCUGAGCCUAGAAGUUAUGAGGAUGAGCUCCAGCCAUUGACAACCUUGGGCAUGCAUCGGUUCCCUCAUCUACAAACUCAGACUGGUAAAAAGGAUCGAAGACUUCACACGCACCAAGCCUGUGCAAAUGUCCUUGGCUACCACCUCUGGGCAAACAACAGAAGCAUUCUAGUCCAGAGUCCAGAAGAAGCAAGGACUCCAGUGUGGCCAAAUGGAAGAAGGCGAAAACAGGCCUGAAUCCAGGCCUCAUGUUCUAACCACUGAGAUAACCACUGAGGUUUCCAUGUUUGCCUCCUCCCUCAGACUGAGUGUGUUGACAGCAGGAACUCCAGGACCCUCUGGCCCAGCACAGGCCAGUACACAAGAAGACCCAAGUCUCGAUGGAAGGAGGAAUGAAGGAAUGAGUGAAUGAAUGAUACAUGGAAACACCUCUACAAAUUAGUCAGGAGCUUUUCUCCUCCAGACAAUGAGAAGGUCUGGGAGCUCUCUGGCCAGAACUGGCUAAUGAAAUCACUAUGUUAGGAGGAUAGAUCACAGCAGGGGGAACUGGGAAGCUGGAGGCCCCGAGACCCGCUGGAAGGCUAUUUGGAAAGGUCGGCUUCCAAGCUGCCUGCAAGUGUAAAAAAAUCUAUGAGUGCAUUACCAGGAGGGCCAUCCAGCUUCGUUUAUUUUUAUCCCACCAAAUACAAGGUCAGAGACAAGUAGAGCACUUUCAGCUGAAAUUAUUUUUUUUAAUUGACAUCACACUUUACGCAAAUAUUAAUUCAUUUAUUCAGCAAACAGUUCUUGGGAACACUGGGCUAGCCUGAGAGCAAGGCAUCGUUUCUUCAGUGUGCAUGUUAAUUAUGGAGAUGCCUGUGUUUCACUUUGGCUUUCAAAUGAUCAAACCUCUGGCUUCUCAGAGGCUCAGAGCGGUCUUACAAAUACUAAGAUUCCAAGGACCGACCACUAUGGGUACCCUUCCUAACGUGGAAACAAAUAUUUUAAAUCCAAUUGAAAUUGCCCAAAAUCAUUCUGGAAGGCAAACAGCCUGAUGUCUCGGGGAGAGAGAGGGGACUUUCCAAUCUUGAGUGUUGAAUGUUUUUAUGCAGCAAUCUAGUCUCCGCACUGUCUUGUUGGUGAUAUACAGAAAGAGUUCCCUGCUACCGCAGAGGGCUCAUGACAGCUGGAGGUUCCGCAGUUAGUGAAGGAGACUGGAGGGACCGGGCAGUGGAAGUAGGCAGGGCUGAACACCCGACUGCCCCAGAGUGCUAGCAAGUCAGGUAAGCUAGAGGGCUAGGUAGGUACUGCCUGGAGCAUCUCAGGUGGGGCUUCUCUCACACCCCCCAUGUUGACCCAAGAGAGGAGCAAAUCCACCAAGCUUUCAAGAAAGGUGUUUGGGGUUUGUUUGCUUUUUUUUUUUCACCCUUUGGUUUUUGCCCUGGCUGUUGUAGGACUCAUUUUGUAGACCAGGCUGGCCUCGAACUCACAGAGAUCUGCCUGCCUCUUCCUCCCAAGUGCUGGGAUUAAAGGGGUGCGCCACCACUGUCUGGCUAAGAGAGGUGUUUCAAUCUUUAGGUCAAACCCUCUAAUUUUUUUCAGGUCACUUUUAAAUUGUUUUGGUAGUUGCUAAAUAGACAACAUUCAAAAGCUUUCAAAUGUAAGUGGGGACCUGGAGAUGGUUCAGUGGGUGAAGGCUCUUCCACGCAAGCUUAGUGACCUGAGUUCCAUCCCUGGAACCUUAGUAAAGCUGGAAGGAGAGACCCACUCCAGGAGAUUUUCCUCUGACCUUUACGUGAGUGCUGUGGCUCUUGUGUACACACACACACACACACACACACACACACACACACACACACACACACUCACUAACCACACUAACAUUUUUCCAACUACAAACUGUGGUAGUGGGGGGGCUGGAGGGGGGAGAACAAGGGAA